UUCACAGAGUCACCUCAGUUUAGACUGGAUUUGGGAUCAGGGAAACUUUUGGAGAAGUUGAAGAACAUGUCAUGAAGCUUGAAGAAGCAGUUGGCAUGUUUAAAGUGGAGAGCUAGAAGAAGAUAGGUCGAAGAUGAUGUUUGGCUUACUGAGAAAGCCACAGCAAAGCACACUCUUAGACAGAGCUCAUGAUGUACAACUUUAUUUCAGAGCGGAAGGUACUUGAAGAAAUGAGUUGCUCUGGGAACAUUAGUGGGAACUACUUAGGCUUCAAUGAUGGAAUACAAAGCAAUUGAGAAUGUGCU